AAAAAAAAAAAAAAAAAAACAUUUAAAAUAUAACGCAAUUUUAAAGUAAUUUGUACUGUAUGCUACUACUUAAAAGGUGUUCUUAAAACCAGUACUUCUUUCUGCUUAGGUCUUUUCAGUUAUAAGUCUGCACAAGCGGGUAAACUUUUGGACUGGAAGUAUGUAGAAGUACCUUCUUGCUCUUUGUCCCCUCCACUUUUACUCCACCCACCCCGACAGUUUUAUCUCUGACCUGGAAUACAUGCCAUCAGGUUCAACAGAGAAAUGGACUCAACAUUCAGCACUCAUGUCCAACACCUAUGUGGAAAAUCUAGAGGUGAAUGAGAUCAUAGGAAGAGAUAUGUCACAGAUCUCAGUGUUACAUGGACCAACAGCAGCCAGCCAGUCUGCACAUACAUGUCCUGGAUCUCUGGAGACAAGAAUAUCUGAUGGAAUCCAGUAACAGAUAAGCUUACAACUAAAUGUUUCUUCAUCCUCUUCCUCUUUAGACUUACUGUGCUUCCAACUCUGUGGCCUUUAUGAAAUGGAACAGUGGAUCCCUGCAAAGCCCUUUCAGUGGGUUACAUUUUUGAUGUAGAGACAGCAUUUUAGUUAUAGUUCCUCAAAUACUGUAAAGAGACUUCUUAAAAUGGGCACAGAAUCUACACCAGAUAUUUUAACUGUUUUAAAGUUACAAACAAGCUUUGCUUUCUGCAUUUAAAUAGAAUACUUUUGUAUUGUGCUUCAGAUGUGUGGCGAUGUUAGUUUGCUCUUAUAAUAUUCACAGUACUGAAUGUGGAAAGAGAUUUAAUGCACAUCUUCAGUGUGCUCCUUUCCCUUAGAGGUAGUAUAGUUUGUAACUGAUGAUUUGUAACACCUUUUGGUCAUUUUGGAAAGCCUUUAAAGCUUCUAUUUUUUUUUUUUUAAUACAGUCUUCCAGUGGCAAAUCAUACCUGCCAUCUGAAGCCAAUGCCACGGAAGCCAUUGUGUAUAUAAAUGCUGUAGUGUUUUCUUUCUUAGAUUCAUAGGAAGCAAAGUCAAAUGUAGAUUUGCUCUUGUUUAUAAACUGAAAAUGUUACUUGAUAGGCUGCAAAAAGACCAUUCCAUCAUGAAAGUGCUGGGAAAGGACAUUCCAAAAUUUAACUUAUAUAACUUUGUGGAUAAUCUUCCUGUUCUUUAUUAGCACUGUCUUCUUCUUGAAAUAGCUUUUUAGAAAGUUACAUUUGUAAUCAAAUUUGAGCAGUAGGAUUUUAGAUUAAAGAACAGCAACAUCAAAGCCAUGAUAUUUACAGGAGAAAUUUCAAUAUUUGCUGAGGAUAUAGGUGUUCCUGUUAUCCCUGCAGAACAGUUUUGAAAUCACAGAUUCAGUGGCAUUCAAGUUUUCCAUGCAAUAAAUUGUUUGAUCACAUGUAUCUUUUAUAUACUGUAUGCCUGACCAUGCCACUUGGAAGUCCUGAGGAGAUGACAAUUACAGUUCCUUAAAUUUAAGAUGCUUAUAAACAUCAGUUUGCUAAAAAGUAAUUUACUGUGAAUUAGGGAUUAGGUAGUGUAAUUUUCCCUUGUUUAAUUGUGAAUGUGGGAAGCAGAAACUACCAAAGAAACACACGAGAUUCAUAGCAGCAGUAAACUUUGUGCUGUGCUCAAAGGAUGCAUUUCUCUUGCCUGCAUAAUCUGAUACAUUCGAGACAAUCUGUUUACAUAGUUAUUAAAAAUCUCAGGCCUCUAUGAUUAGAAACCUAGGAGAGGAUCUGAAACACAGGCCACAAAUGCUUCCCUCCACCAGAAGACACUGUUGUUUACAAAGCUUUCUGACAUGGAACACGCAGGGUACAGCAAUCAUGGCAAAGUAAGAUCAGAAAUACAUGGAACCUCAAAACACUGAGGGUGUUAGUUCUAGUUCCCCAUUUGGGUGAGCCAUGAUGCUCUAAUGAAAAUUAAGAGCAAAUACACUCUAAAAUUUCCAAAUAUAGAAAGUGUAUUUGCAUUGAAACUAGUUAAGACAAUUGUGGACAUUUUAGCUGUUUAACACAUGUGGAGCACAUGUGUCUUUCUGUAGAAAAUUUAGCAGAGAUUCUUAAAGUGACAGUAAAAUGGUCUUAAAGUGGAUACCACAACUGCAUUCUAAUACUUGUGAGAGCAAACACAGAUUCUACUGCUGUUGCAUUUUGGCAGAUGGUCACAGGGAAAAAUUUCCAUUGAGCCUUUUGCAGGCACAACGUUACACCUACAUUUAAGUCAUCACCCAAGCAAUACCAUUAAAGUAGUUGUAACUGCAUCUUUGUAAUAAUCUGAAUCAUGAACUUUUUAGAAGACCAUACAUUAAGCGGGUGAAGUUAUAACUCUUUAUCAUGUACUUCCUUUUAAGAGUGCAGCCUAAGGCUCCUAUCUUGAUGUUUCAUAGUUAUAUGAAA
ensembl:lncRNA